GGAGGAUGCGAGCGUUAUCCGGAUUUAUUGGGUUUAAAGGGAGCGCAGACGGGGGAUUAAGUCAGUUGUGAAAGUUCGCGGCUCAACCGUAAAAUUGCAGUUGAUACUGGGUGUCUUGAGUACAGUAGAGGCAGGCGGAAUUCGUGGUGUAGCGGUGAAAUGCUUAGAUAUCACGAAGAACUCCGAUUGCGAAGGCAGCCUGCUGGACUGUAACUGACGCUGAUGCUCGAAAGUGUGGGUAUCAAACAGGAUUAGAUACCCUGGUAGUCCACACAGUAAACGAUGAAUACUCGCUGUUUGCGAUAUACAGUAAGCGGCCAAGCGAAAGCGUUAAGUAUUCCACCUGGGGAGU
rnacentral:rRNA from 1 species